UUUUUCAUUUCUUUAUUUUUGAUUAAUGAUUCGGUGAUUUGAUUUUUUUUUUUGAAUUUUUGCAGUCAUUGAUGGAUUGAAGGAGAAAUUCGCUGAGGCAACGAGGCAAGGGAGGAAGGUUUUCCGGUGGUUUUGAUAUCAAUGUUUUCACGAAAGUUCGUGAAACCGGAUAAGAUAUGUUAUGAUACUGGUAAUCAACUACUCUGGACCUCCACAUAGUUCUCAUAUUGCCAUAGCGGAGGUGCAU